rnacentral:lncRNA from 1 species
ACGUCAGCAGCACAUUUAACUUAUAUAUCAUAACCAAAUUCUUCAUUCCCCCCUCACCUCAGAAACUACCACCAAGGAAUGCCAUGGAUACUGAAUAGAAAGGCUUUGGACAACUGUAAUGAAAAAUGGAAAACCAUAAAGAUAUUCUGGGAUGGCAGAUUUUAUUUUAAAUUAUAUUUCCCAAACAUUUCUGGCAAUGAGAAUGGGAUAUCUGGAAAUUUCAGAAUCAGCAGACAACUGAAGCUCUGUAGUCACACAGUAAGAAGUUUGUAGAAGUGUUCCACAGCAUGUUUCCUGUUUACAGCCCCACACAUGUGGAUGUGCACUGGUUACUGCAGUGAAUUCUGUAAACUGCACUUGCAUGGAAUUCUAUAAUCAGCAGACAUAGCUCAUUUGAUGGACCAAGCAUUUGGGGAUCUGGAAUAUCAACAGCACAUCAAGAGAGAUUCAGGCCAAGAAAAGUCAGCUAUCCUCCAUUCUAUAGGUAACUAUGGAAAAUUUAGACACAUCAGAG